rnacentral:rRNA from 1 species
UGGUGGAGUGAUUUGUCUGGUUAAUUCCGUUAACGAACGAGACCUCGACCUGCUAAAUAGUUCGGCAAAUUCUUCGGGAUUUGUACGUGACUUCUUAGAGGGACUAUCGGUGGUUAGCCGAUGGAAGUUCGAGGCAAUAACA